rnacentral:lncRNA from 1 species
UCAGAGAUGGAGCCGGCGCCACCUGACUAGGGAGGACUAGUUUAGAUCUCCAGAUUCGGUACAGUGGGAAUACCUGAGGGAAGAGUUUCAGAGUUAUUUGAGGAGCAGGGACGCCCACGGGUUCCAACCAAUGCCCUCCUUACUUGUUUUGUGUUUCGUUUUAGUUAUUAGCGAUGCGGUUGGAUGAGACUUUGUUGUUUCAUAUGAAAGAAUUUGCUUUGAGGGAGCCGGGAGCAGCACUACAAUCCGCAGGGUUGUUUAUUUUAAAUAGGGCUCUGCACGGUGUUAUUUAUGACACCGUGAUGUUGACACUUCGAGUUCUUUUAAAGUUAUAUUUUUAUUUGCAUUCCUGUGUGAGGGAAGGGAGGGGGAGAGGAUGGGAGGAGCUUCCUGUGUGCAAGCCUGCAGGUGCGCCAGUGCUCAGCAGAGGGCACUGAAUGCUGCGGCACUCGGGUUAACAGAUGGUAGUGAGCUGUCUGAACUACUUAAAAUUUUCAGGUAAAAGGGCAGCAAGCAUUCUUAAACUGCUGAGCGGCCCUCUAGGUGUUCUUUGCUGGGGCAGGGGAGUUAGCAGGGAGGAAGUGGAGAGAACUGGGAGAGUUGAGACCCUCCUUCUGAGCGUUAAGCUGCAUGUAGAUAAUAUCUGCAGGUGUGGCACAAUUGAAAAGGCAGUGGCUUUCAGGCUAGUCACUGCACGGACUAGUAAGGCAGCUCUCUUGCUCCCAGCACCGUGCAUCUGAUUCUCCGUUCUCAGGGACCACCUGACAUGGUUAAACAGCCCUGGCUUAACGUUCCAGACACUGCUGCCAAUACUUGCGGCUGUUAGUUCCUGAUUUCUGCUUAAGAUCACUCAGAAGAGGAUCAGCUGCUGAUCAUACGUCUGACUCAGCUAUAUCUCAUUGCUAUGGCUCUUGGCCACAAGAUAUCUGACUCUGUGUCACCAGCCUAACAGAAGAUCACAUUGUGCUGCCAAAGCACAGAACACACCCAGCUUCUUGGAUUUCAUCUGUCUUGCAUUUCCUUAUGUAUCAGUUACAGGAAAAGCAGCAACUGAAAUACAGCUCUCAAAUGCUCUGGAUGGUAAAUAAAACAAGGCAUAUGCUAUAAUACCCUCUGAGAGAAA